GUUAAGGAGGGGAGGGAGAGGAGGGAGGCCUGCCUGUAGACAUCACCAAGGUGGAGGCUUUUACUCCUCACACUGUAGUUCUGCAACACGAGGAGGACUGUGGGUGUUAAGGAGGGCAGGGGGAGGGAGAGGAGGGAGGCCUGCCUGUAGACAUCACCAAGGUGGAGGCUUUUACUCCUCACACUGUAGUUCUGCAACACGAGGAGGACUGUGGGUGUUAAGGAGGGCAGGGGGAGGGAGAGGAGGGAGGCCUGCCUGUAGACAUCACCAAGGUGGAGGCUUUUACUCCUCACACUGUAGUUCUGCAACACGAGGAGGACUGUGGGUGUUAAGGAGGGCAGGGGGAGGGAGAGGAGGGAGGCCUGCCUGUAGACAUCACCAAGGUGGAGGCUUUUACUCCUCACACUGUAGUUCUGCAACACGAGGAGGACUGUGGGUGUUAAGGAGGGCAGGGGGAGGGAGAGGAGGGAGGCCUGCCUGUAGACAUCACCAAGGUGGAGGCUUUUACUCCUCACACUGUAGUUCUGCAACACGAGGAGGACUGUGGGUGUUAAGGAGGGCAGGGGGAGGGAGAGGAGGGAGGCCUGCCUGUAGACAUCACCAAGGUGGAGGCUUUUACUCCUCACACUGUAGUUCUGCAACACGAGGAGGACUGUGGGUGUCAAGGUUUA